GACGAACGCUGGCGGCGUGCUUAACACAUGCAAGUCGAACGGUAAGGCCCUUCGGGGUACACGAGUGGCGAACGGGUGAGUAACACGUGGGUGAUCUGCCCUGCACUUCGGGAUAAGCCUGGGAAACUGGGUCUAAUACCGGAUAGGACCACUGCCUGCAUGGGUGGUGGUGGAAAGCUUUUGCGGUGUGGGAUGGGCCCGCGGCCUAUCAGCUUGUUGGUGGGGUGAUGGCCUACCAAGGCGACGACGGGUAGCCGGCCUGAGAGGGUGACCGGCCACACUGGGACUGAGAUACGGCCCAGACUCCUACGGGAGGCAGCAGUGGGGAAUAUUGCACAAUGGGCGCAAGCCUGAUGCAGCGACGCCGCGUGAGGGAUGACGGCCUUCGGGUUGUAAACCUCUUUCAGCACCGACGAAGCGCAAGUGACGGUGGGUGCAGAAGAAGGACCGGCCAACUACGUGCCAGCGCCGCGGUAAUAC
rnacentral:rRNA from 1 species